rnacentral:rRNA from 1 species
CCUCUUUCAGCAGGGAAGAAGCGAAAGUGACGGUACCUGCAGAAGAAGCGCCGGCUAACUACGUGCCAGCAGCCGCGGUAAUACGUAGGGCGCGAGCGUUGUCCGGAAUUAUUGGGCGUAAAGAGCUCGUAGGCGGCUUGUCGCGUCGGUUGUGAAAGCCCGGGGCUUAACCCCGGGUCUGCAGUCGAUACGGGCAGGCUAGAGUUCGGUAGGGGAGAUCGGAAUUCCUGGUGUAGCGGUGAAAUGCGCAGAUAUCAGGAGGAACACCGGUGGCGAAGGCGGAUCUCUGGGCCGAUACUGACGCUGAGGAGCGAAAGCGUGGGGAGCGAACAGGAUUAGAUACCCUGGUAGUCCACGCCGUAAACGGUGGGCACUAGGUGUGGGCGACACUCCACGUCGUCCGUGCCGCAGCUAACGCAUUAAGUGCCCCGCCUGGGGAGUACGGCCGCAAGGCUAAAACUCAAAGGAAUUGACGGGGGCCCGCACAAGCGGCGGAGCAUGUGGCUUAAUUCGACGCAACGCGAAGAACCUUACCAAGGCUUGACAUACACCGGAAAACCCUGGAGACAGGGUCCCCCUUGUGGUCGGUGUACAGGUGGUGCAUGGCUGUCGUCAGCUCG